CAAAUACACGUUUAUUCAAUGCAACCGUCGCACUUCGAAUAAGCUUUUCAUACUUUAAAUUGUUUUAUAGUUAUGUAUUAAACUAACACACUGUAAAAGUAAUAAAUGUUAUUUGCAAUAGAUUUUUUUUUCCUUUGUCUCAGUAUUUAUGGCAAGACUAGGCAUACACACAUAUCCCAAUAUAUAACAAGGCAGUAUAUAAAUUAAACAUAGUAUAUAUACACAAAACUACACAUACCAUACAAAGUAUAAGUAUUAUCAAUAUGGGAUGAUUACGAACUCCCUUAUCCGUAUUCACACAAAUACAAAGCCAGAUAUAAAUCCGCACACAUACAUAUUCACACAAAAGAUUAAUAUCAAUAGAGUACUUGUAAAUUUUUUCUUAAAUAAUUAGGAAAUCAUUUCUUUGACGGUAAUUCAACGUUAAUCUAGGCAAAUGUUUUUAAAAGGAGUAGCACUGCAAUACAUAAUAUUCUUAUUUAAUGAAAACGUCAUUUUGUUUAUAUUAUCACAACGAUACAAAUAAAUUCAUAUUAAUAGGUUCGGGAAAAAGUAAUUUCGCUUGUAAUAAAAUCUCUUUGGCUAUACUAUUUGUAUCUGGCUGGUGUUGGUGUCAUUAAGAUAGAUAUGUUUAAUAAAUGUCAGAACGACUGAUGCUUUAAUGUCCGGGUUGGUUGAAAGGCUGUAUUGAAAGCUUAAACGUUUCAUAUUACAAUCUGUACAUAUUAUUAUAUUAAAAUAAAUAUGAAUGUUUGUCCUCUAUGCAUUCCCGAACCGUUGAUCCAAUUGUGAUGAAACUUACGUACGUACGUAACGUACACUUGUGGUUGGGUCUCCAUGGAAGGUUUUGUUCAUAGUACUAUAAAUGUAAAAUCCUUCUUUGCAAUCGCAAGCAUUGUCAUAGCAAAUUAAAAUACAUGGUCUUGACUUUUUCCGAUAUCGCCACACCGUUCGCUACAUUGCAAGCCGCAGCCGGAACGAGCGUUGUUGUCUCCACCGCAGGAUGCUUGAAAAUUCAUAAUAGGAGAUUCAAUAAGACAAUCCGUGAAAAUUAUACAGAAGAAAAUUAUACAGAAAUAAAUUUCCGACAAAUACAAUACUGAAAAUGUAUAGUUAUUUGUUUUAAAAUUAGUCAGUCUAGUAACAGAAGAUGUAGAAGUAUUAGAAGAUCUAGAAGAUCACUUUAAAUUUUAUAAGUUUAAAUUUAUUUUUAUAAAUCUUUACUUCUUACACAAUUUUCUAGUAAUAUAAAUCCUAUACAUUCGUUAUUAA